ACCAGAUAAUUGACAGGUUAUUAAGACAGUAUUAAUCUAUUGGACCAGAGAAUGGACAGGUUAUUAGGACAGUAUUAAUCUAUAGGACCAGAGAAUGGACAGGCUAUUAACACAGUUUUAACCUAUAGGACCAGAGAAUGGAGAGGCUAUUAAGACAGUAUUAACCUAUAGGACCAGAGAAUGGACAGGUUAUUAACACAGUAUUAAUCUAUAGGACCAGAGAAUGGACAGGCUAUUAACACAGUAUUAACCUAUAGGACCAGAGAAUGGACAGGCUAUUAACACAGUAUUAACCUAUAGGACCAGAGAAUGGACAGGCUAUUAACACAGUAUUAAUCUAUAGGACCAGAGAAUGGACAGGUUAUUAAGACAGUAUUAAUCUAUAGGACCAGAGAAUGGACAGGUUAUUAAGACAGUAUUAACCUAUAGGACCAGAGAAUGGACAGGUUAUUAAGACAGUAUUAACCUAUAGGACCAGAUAAUUGACAGGUUAUUAAGACAGUAUUAAUAUAUAGGACCAGAUAAUGGACAGGUUAUUAAUACAGUAUUAAUAUAUAAGACCAGAUAAUGGACAGGUUAUUAAGACAGUAUUAAUAUAUAAGACCAGAUAAUGGACAGGUUAUUAAGACAGUAUUAAUAUAUAGGACCAGAUAAUUGACAGGUUAUUAAGACAGUAUUAAUAUAUAAGACCAGAUAAUGGACAGGUUAUUAAGACAGUAUUAAUAUAUAGGACCAGAUAAUGGACAGGUUAUUAAUACAGUAUUAAUAUAUAGGACCAGAUAAUGGACAGGUUAUUAAUACAGUAUUAAUAUAUAAGACCAGAUAAUGGACAGGUUAUUAAUACAGUAUUAAUAUAUAAGACCAGAUAAUGGACAGGUUAUUAAGACAGUAUUAAUCUACAGGACCAGAGAAUGGACAGGUUAUUAAGACAGUAUUAAUGUUUUUCUGAAGAGGAAGGGACAUUUGGCACAUCUUUGUCUGAGAGUUUCUGUUUCCUAGAUGAUGACCGUGUCCACCCGGAUAAAGGUAUAUUUUACUGAAACGUUGUUUAAGAGAUCCAUUAAAUGUUUGGAAGCAUCUGGACCACCAGUGUGCUGGCAUUGUUUAUUUACCGUUAACCAGCAUUCUUUCUCUCUCAUUAUACCUGUUAACACGUCAGGAGGUAUCACUCUUAUUGUGUUAAUUACAGCAGCGUGACAUCACCAACCAGGAAGUCAACAUCUCUCAUUAUACCUGUUAACACGUCAGGAGGUAUCACUCUUAUUGUGUUAAUUACAGCAGCGUGACAUCACCAACCAGGAAGUCAACAUCUCUCAUUAUACCUGUUUACACGUCAGGAGGUAUCGCUCUUAUUGUGUUAAUUACAGCAGCGUGACAUCACCAACCAGGAAGUCAACAGGACGUCUGGGGUUGGAUCACAGUCAUACAGAGACACAGAAGCUCUG